GAUGAACGCUGGCGGCGUGCCUAAUACAUGCAAGUCGAGCGAACGGACGAGAAGCUUGCUUCUCUGAUGUUAGCGGCGGGCGGGUGAGUAACACGUGGAUAACCUACCUAUAAGACUGGGAUAACUUCGGGAAACCGGAGCUAAUACCGGAUAAUAUUUUGAACCGCAUGGUUCAAAAGUGAAAGACGGUCUUGCUGUCACUUAUAGAUGGAUCCGCGCUGCAUUAGCUAGUUGGUAAGGUAACGGCUUACCAAGGCAACGAUGCAUAGCCGACCUGAGGGGGUGAUCGGCCACACUGGAACUGAGACACGGUCCAGACUCCUACGGGAGGCAGCAGUAGGGAAUCUUCCGCAAUGGGCGAAAGCCUGACGGAGCAACGCCGCGUGAGUGAUGAAGGUCUUCGGAUCGUAAAACUCUGUUAUUAGGGAAGAACAUAUGUGUAAGUAACUGUGCACAUCUUGACGGUACCUAAUCAGAAAGCCACGGCUAACUACGUG
rnacentral:rRNA from 1 species